rnacentral:rRNA from 1 species
CGGACGGGUGAGUAACACGUGGAUAACCUACCUAUAAGACUGGGAUAACUUCGGGAAACCGGAGCUAAUACCGGAUAAUAUAUUGAACCGCAUGGUUCAAUAGUGAAAGACGGUUUUGCUGUCACUUAUAGAUGGAUCCGCGCCGCAUUAGCUAGUUUGUAAGGUAACGGCUUACCAAGGCAACGAUGCGUAGCCGACCUGAGAGGGUGAUCGGCCACACUGGAACUGAGACACGGUCCAGACUCCUACGGGAGGCAGCAGCG